UGCCCGGUGGUGUAACGGUAGCACGAAUGACUCUGGAUCAUUUAGUCAAGGUUCGAAUCCUUGCCGGGCAA
rnacentral:tRNA from 1 species